CCCCCCCACAGCACGAUGCCGCGCAGGAAUGUGAAAGGAUCCCGCCCGCCGCCAUUUUCUUUCUUUCUUGGCAAGCAGCGAGCGGGGAGGAAGCGGUAGGCGAGCGAGUAUGGCGGACUACUCUACAGUGCCUCCGCCUGCUUCAGGCGCGCCCGGGGGAGGCGGCGGUGGAGGUGGAGGAGUGAACGAUGCCUUUAAAGACGCACUGCAGAGAGCUAGGCAGAUUGCAGCAAAAAUUGGAGGAGAUGCUGGCACAUCAAUGAAUUCCAACGACUACGGUUAUGGAGGACAAAAAAGACCUCUUGAGGAUGGAGAUGGCUCUUGGACAAGUCCGAGCAGUACAACACACUGGGAGGGAAUGCCCUCUCCUUUUAAAGAUCAACCAGAUGCUAAGAAAGUUGCUCCUCAGAAUGACUCUUUUGGAAAUCAGCUACCACCAAUGCAUCAACAGCAAAGGUCUGUGAUGACAGAAGAGUACAAAGUUCCAGAUGGCAUGGUUGGAUUCAUAAUUGGCAGAGGUGGAGAGCAGAUCUCACGCAUACAGCAAGAGUCGGGCUGUAAAAUACAGAUUGCACCUGAUAGUGGAGGCCUGCCUGAAAGAUCGUGUAUGCUAACUGGAACACCAGAGUCUGUUCAAUCAGCAAAAAGAUUACUUGAUCAGAUAGUUGAAAAGGGAAGACCUGCACCUGGCUUUCACCAUAGUGAUGGACCUGGAAAUGCAGUCCAAGAAAUCAUGAUUCCAGCAAGUAAAGCAGGAUUAGUUAUUGGAAAAGGUGGAGAGACGAUUAAACAGUUGCAGGAGCGGGCAGGCGUCAAAAUGGUCAUGAUUCAAGAUGGUCCACAGAACACUGGUGCAGACAAGCCCCUUAGGAUAACUGGAGACCCUUAUAAAGUUCAGCAAGCCAAGGAAAUGGUGCUGGAGUUAAUUCGUGAUCAAGGUGGCUUUAGAGAGGUGCGCAACGAAUAUGGGUCAAGAAUAGGAGGAAAUGAAGGGAUAGACGUUCCAAUACCGCGGUUUGCUGUAGGUAUUGUAAUUGGAAGAAAUGGAGAGAUGAUAAAAAAGAUACAAAAUGAUGCUGGUGUUAGGAUCCAGUUCAAGCCAGAUGACGGAACAACUCCAGAUAGGAUAGCCCAAAUCACAGGGCCUCCUGACAGAUGUCAGCAUGCUGCAGAAAUUAUUACAGAUCUCCUUCGAAGUGUUCAGGCCGGUAACCCUGGUGGCCCAGGACCUGGUGGUCGAGGAAGGGGUAGAGGCCAAGGCAACUGGAACAUGGGCCCUCCUGGUGGAUUACAGGAAUUCAAUUUUAUUGUUCCCACUGGCAAAACUGGAUUAAUCAUUGGCAAAGGUGGUGAAACUAUUAAAAGUAUAAGCCAGCAGUCUGGUGCUAGAAUAGAACUUCAAAGAAAUCCUCCACCUAAUGCGGAUCCCAACAUGAAGAUGUUUACUAUCCGUGGAACACCACAGCAAAUAGAUUAUGCACGACAACUCAUAGAAGAAAAGAUUGGAGGUCCAGUAAAUCCAUUGGGUCCACCUGUUCCACAUGGACCCCAUGGUGUUGUUCCUGGCCCACAUGGACCUCCUGGGCCACCAGGUCCUGGUGCUCCCAUGGGACCAUAUAACCCAGCUCCUUAUAAUCCAGGGCCUCCAGGUCCUGCACCUCAUGGUCCUCCUGCUCCAUAUGCUCCACAAGGAUGGGGAAAUGCUUACCCACACUGGCAGCCACCAAACCCACCAGAUCCAGGUAAACCAGGAACAGAUCCCAAUUCAGCAGCGUGGGCAGCUUAUUAUGCUCACUACUAUCAGCAGCAAGCACAGCCACCACCUGCAGCCCCUCCUGGUGGACCAGCUACAACCCAAACUAAUGGACAAGGAGAUCAGCCAAAUCCAGCACCAGCAGGGCAGGUUGACUAUACCAAGGCCUGGGAGGAGUACUACAAAAAGAUGGGUCAAGCAGUUCCUGCCCCUGCAGGCGCUCCGCCAGGUGGUCAGCCGGAUUACAGUGCAGCAUGGGCUGAGUACUACAGGCAACAGGCAGCAUAUUACGCCCAGACAAGUCCACAGGGAAUGCCACAACAUCCUCCAGCACCACAGUGCAGGUUUGAUCCAGCCAGUAUAGAACUAGCUCUAUAGGGGUGAGAAGGACUGUGCUGUGUAUCAUCCUUGAUUGUUCCUUCAAGGAGCAUUGCACUGUAAGUACAUCAGAAUGACAAAUUGAUGAACUGCAACAGUAUCUUUUUGUCAAUGUUCCACAUAAUGAAAAUGCCAUACUUGUGUAACUAUUAUGUUGGAAUACAGUGCUAAUACCUUAGGAAACCGUAAUUACUUCUUAAUUCAGAAACAUAGGUUUGCGUAUAUAUAUGCACAUACACAUAAUAUGAGCUUUUGGGUAAGUAUUUGUGAACCGUUCAGCAAUAGCUAAAAAAAAAUUGUGUUUCUUUGUAUCUGAGUAAUAGUGUUUUUUUUUAUUAGUACUCCUGAGACAGGUGUAUUGUUCAGUGUUUUAAAGUAUGCGUAUCGUAACACUCAAGUCUUUGGAACAAGUUGUUAGACAGAAGUUGUCUUUGCCUUCAGCUAGUUGGCAGAUACAUAGUGAUGUAGGUAUGUUUUAAAUCUAUAACUGUUAAAUUGCUUUAUCUUUUGGAACACCAUAUUGUUGCUUUGAGAAUAAGUUUUUUUUUUUAGGGUGGCUGCACAGAAGUUAAGGCUUGAAAACUGAAGUAGUUAUUCAAGUAAUUAGCAAUGUAUAUAUUGUGCUGUAGAAAUAGAAGGAAUUCUUUUUAUCCAUUUUAAAAUUAGGAAUUAUUCUGGUAGCUUAAAAAAGGCUAGGACAGCAUUUGCUAUCUUUAGGGUAGGUUAUGAAGUUUAAUAGUUCAGAUAUUUUGCAUGGUAUUUUGUAGAUAACCUUAUAGAUUGGUGCAUUUAUUAUGUACUAAACUGAGCAGAAUUAAAUUCAGUGGAUUCUUUUAUCAUUCACAAAAUGGAGGCUGUUGAUUUUGAUUCAUUUAAGGUAUAAAAUCUUUAUUAAUUGCAAACAGUGCAAUUAUUUAUACUUCACAGUGCCUUCCCAGACCUUCCACCUUAGGUUCUGCUGCAAAAAAGCAACAGUGCUGAAGAUGCUGCAAGCACCAAAUCAUAGCUCAUAGAAUCAGGUCCUGAGAUAGUUACUACCAGUAAAGAGGAAUCCUUUGAGUGUAUGCCAUUGGUGAGCCGAUGAGCAUGGACCAUAGAAGGGCUCCAUGUAGAAGGUAAAAUUGGCAAAAACAUAACAGAUUUGAAAUGUAUCCCAUACAUAAUGGUGUAGGGUAUAAUUUUUGUUCUGAUCACUUUUCAUUCUUUAAAGUAUUAUUGUUUGACCAUAAAUGUUCCAUAAUCUGUUAAGUUUUUUAAACUGUGAUUUAAUAAUAUAAAUCAUCUAUUUUAAUUUAUAUUCUUCUAAACAGUCAAGCUUAGAUAUACUGAAUUUUUGAACUAAAACCAGUUGUGCUUCAGUUUCUCAAGCCACUUAAUAUUUCAUCUGUAGUUUAAUAUGUAACUUCAUUUUUGGCAUGAGAAAAGGUUAGGUGUGUACAUUUGGAUUUUGAUAACUGUGAAUUUAGUGUUGGGGCAAGUCACUUAUUCACUUCCUUUUACAUGAUACUUUUUUCUUCAACUGUUGUUCUGAAAUAUCUUGAACAGUCUUUCAAUUUUAGACAGUGGGAGGAGAUAAGAAAAUGCCAGUUGGAUGUUGCUAGUGUGUGGAAAGUGAGAUGUUCUUGUGUGUAGCAUUUGAGGUGUACUGACUUGCAGCUUUCUCACUGCUGAGCUUACACAGCAUGCUGUUCUUGCUAAGCAUAGUGUUUACUUUUCAAGUUUGUCUCCAAGCUCAUGGUUCUUGGCAGAACAGGAGCAGAUUAUGGGAGCUAUCCUGAUCCAAAAACAUGACUGGCCUUGCUUAGAAAUGUAAUUAACUUGUCCAAAAGGUGUCUUUAAAUGUUUCCUGCUUUUCCGCCCCGCCCUUUAGAGUCCUGCAGGUUUAGAAUGUGAAGAAUACAAAAAGUUUAAAAAGGAAAAUAUAAUUUUCAAAGUAGUACAAGUGUUUUCGUAUCACUUUCUGUAGCCUGUACUUUAAUAGGACAUGAAAUAAAAUGUCAGGUGGAUAAUCUUCAGUCUAGCUUUAUCAUAAGUCUUCUAGUUUAAGUUGUCCAGGCAGAGAGGAUCAUUAUUCACUUGCACAACCUCAACCUAUCUUCAAGAAUUUGUCCUUUUACUAGUGGCAUUUUAUGGGAUGAUAGAAAUUGUUUCUCCCCUGUUCUCUUCUGAAGUAAUGUUUUAAGUUAUUCCAUUGCAUGGUAGAAGCUUUUUAUUUUGCUUUUUUUUCUGGAAGAGGGGGGAGGAAAGGGAGGUCUGGGCUUUUCAGAAAGCAUACAGUUGGCAGGAUUCCCUCUUCCCUCGUAAUAGCUUAUAAAACUCUUUUAUGUAUGCACAAAUAUUUCUCUUGCGUGCAUGUGAAAUGCCUUUUCGUCCUGAGAAAAGUGUUCUCUGCAGAAACUACCCGUGUGUAAAAAGAAGAUUGGCUUUAAAAGGCAACUGUGAUGGGAACAGUGUCUUAGGGAGAUGCAGCUUGGACUGAGGUAAAUUGAAUGCUUUACAAAAAUGUGGUUUUGAGUUUGCAUUGACAUUGUAUGUAAUAUGGGUUACACGUUAACUGUAUUACGGUUUUUGUAUGUUUUUUUCUCAAUAAAUGUAAACUGAUGGAUAAUAA